ensembl:lncRNA
GGUGCUGUACAGAUUCACUGACACGAAUCAGUGCUUCAAUUCAAAACAGCAUGUAUCAGGAAAACGCUGGAAGAGAAUGAAAAUGGAAUCAAUAAAGGCAUCUCUGUAUCUGUAAAAGUCCAACAGUGCACACGCACAGCUCAUUUUGUUAUCGGUGGAUUACUAGGAAACUUUAUCACAUACAUUUCUUUUGGUACUGUGGGUUCCUCAAUCACGCUCUCUUACUCACACUUCAGAUACAUCUGUGCCUGUCAAUCACAUUGAAGGCUGGACCGCCUGCCAGUUCCAGUGAAGGAGGUGUGGUCUCUGUAGUGUCAGUCCCAGUAAAAAUGGUGUGGCUUCUCUAAUGUCAGUCCCAGUGAAAGAGGUGUGGUCUCUGUAGUGUCAGUCCCAGUGAAAGAGGUGUGGUCUCUGUAGUGUCAGUCCCAGUGAAGGAGGGGUGGUCUCUGUAGUGUCAGUCCCAGUGAAGAAGGUGUGGCCUUUGUGUCUGUCAGUCCCAGUGAAGGAGGUGUGGUCUCUCUAAUGUCAGUCCCUUUGAAGGAGGUGUGGUCUCUGUAUUGUCAAUCCCAGUGAAGGAGGUGUGGUCUCUGAAGCAUCUGUCCUAGUGAAGGAGGCGUGGCCUCUGUAGUGUCAGUCCUAGUAAAAAAGGUGUGGCCUCUCUACUGUCAGUACUAAUUUAUAAGGCGUGGCCUCCAUGUCUGUCAGCUCCAGUAAAGGAGGCAUUGAUCCCAUAAAACGACACAUAAGUUCAUACUUAUUUCGAGUAAUUCUGUAGUCCUGUUUCUUAGCUGCCAAGAUUUAAAUAUCUGUUAAAUGUCCAGUUUAUGACACCUAAUGGAUAUGAUAACCAAAGAAUUGUUUUUAUGCUGUGUAAGAGAAUUAGCCAUUCAGUUCCUCUCCUUCCAUCCAGAAACAUCCACUGGAACAACAAACAUAAACAUUCUCACCUUCUUAUCUGGAAAUCUUACUUCAGCACACAGAAAGUCACAGAUUACAAGGGAAAGAUUUUUUCUUUUCUUUUUUUCAUAGAUUUAUUUACUCCAAACCAGAUGGCUCGCUGAUUUGGUUUUAUCUCCCAAAACGAACUGCCUUGUCCCAGAUCUGUGGUGUCGGCUAAAGCCUUAACAGUGACUCAGAGCAGGAAAUUAAAAAA